GUAUCAGGGUGCUUUAUGGACUGGGUGCUUGCUGGGGGCAGCUGUUUUAUCAGAUCCCAGGUACAUUUUAAAGGCCUCCCUUUGUCCCCUUAAUUCCAUGGUGGAAUUAAUUUGUAUUGUUUCACCUGAAGCUGUAUCUGUAAGCAGAAGGUGGUGAUUGUGCCACAGCCCAGGAAAAGAAAGGCUAAAUGUUACUUUGCGGAAACUCAGAUCCUGCCUGCAGUAAGGAAAGUUGAUGGCUCUGCUCUGAGGACAGCUCUUAAAUGGGAUUUGCAAGGAGUUCACGGCAGAGUAGCUAUGAAAUCAUGGCUCUGAGUUGAUCCUGUGUGCUGGGAUGUCAGACCUUGCUUGGGGAAGCUAUUGAUUGUCCACACACAGCCUCAGAGGAUGGGGAGGUGCUGUGAUCUGUACUGCUGUGCUCUUUCCUCCCUCACACAAGCCCUUGUGACACAGGGAUCCAGCUCUUCUCCAUGAUAGCCAGGUUACCCUGGUCCUUACUGCUGCAGGAUGGCAAAGCUCGAGUCUGUGCUUCCUGACAUUUCUACUUCUGCUUCUCCUCUUUGCCUGCUUGCUUUGGCUUUGUGGUCACUUUUAGCCGUGUCAGCACAUUGAAAAUUGCUGACAGUAAACACCAAAGGCAUGCAUGCAUGCUACUGAAAAAAAAAGAAACAACCACAAGGAAAACAGCCUUGGGUAAACAGUGGAUUUGCUCACUGUUAAAUGUUCACAGCUUCCACACACAGCCUGGAGCCUCUUACUAAAUACAGGGCUUGGGAUUUUGUUUUUAAAGAACAUUGAUACAGGCUGUGGCACUGCUCACUUUUCCAUGUGACUUUUGAUAUAUGCAGUAAGAGAGGUUCAUCCUGCAUGGUGCUGUACAGAA